rnacentral:tRNA from 1 species
GUCUGGCUGGCUCAGUUGGUAGAGCACGUGACUCUUGAUUUUGGGGUUGUGAGUUCAAGGCCCACGUUGGAUG